AGAGGAUUACAAAGUUCAUGCUUCAUUAUGAUGAUACAUUCAAUGCAGCAUAUACAGUUCUUGGACUUGAAGGGAUUGGAUCUGAUAUCCAUUCUGAGUAUGAAGAUCUCAAUAAAAGCAUUGCAACUUCAACAAGAGUAGCAAAUGGUAAUGGGAAGAAGAGAAUAGUUCAAGGAAAAGGUUGGAAAGAGAAAACAUCUUUGGACUUCAGAAAUCACCUAGUCAAUAAAUUUGUUGAAGCACUGCUGCCAAAGACUAAUGAAAAUAGAACAAAAUUCAUGACAGUUGUGGCUUUUAGCACGAGAAUGGAACAGCAAUUGUUUGACAAAGCUGACA